GAAGUAUGAAUUUUCUAAACGAUCAGAUAGUGUUGUCUAUAAAAGGUCCAAAAAUAUGAUGAAGUUUAUUCUUACGUGUGUUGAUACCAUAGCAGUUGGAUUCUAAAGGAUUCAAGAAAGACAAUGAUUUUAAGCUGUAAAUACAAUUUCAUAAGUGUGAAAUUUUUUAAUGUAAAAUGGUGGCACAACUACGAUAAGUGAGUUGGCUAGCUUUCACCUGGUAAAAAAUUAGUCCUUUUUUCUUUCUGUUUCAACCAGUUUCUAAGUUGUCAGUAUUAUGAUAUGCCAUUUUUAUUUUUCAGGUAUUUAAUAGAUGUGAUGAUCUGAUUAGAUAGACAACUAUUAUACUUGCUAUAAUUACCUUUGCUUGAAGAUCUCAUUAUAAGAUAAAUAAAUAUUUGCAGCAAGAUUUUUGCACUACAAAUGUUCUGCUAUAUAAAAUACAAUACUCAUCUUUAUAAAAAAUAGAAUAUAAUAGUCACUCAAGAAGCAGGUAAGCUUGACUUUUCGAUACAUGUGGUCGCAUUAGGCGUUCUAUGCAGGUCUUGCAAAUGAAGUCAGCACUUUUAAUUAUUUGCAGUUUGAAUUAGCACUUCCAACAGAUGUAUGUUCUCUAAGGUUAUUGCUAAAUCUUUUACCAUUACUCUAAUUCCUCUUUAUAGAUAAUUUUGGAUGCUGAAACUUAAAAUAUAGUACGUGAGAGGCAUCGUCCUGCAACUCAAGAACUUAAUGUAGUAAUGUCUUCAUCACAGAAGCUUAUUGGUUAACUAAAUACUUGCACAUCCUUUGUAAAAUAAGAUAGUUGCACCCUAUUCUAUCGUCAAUUGCAAAUCCAAAGAUAUCAAAUCUCACCUACUAAAAUAUUUGAAAAAUUCAUUCUACUCUGUCCAACAUUUGUGUCCAAAAAUUUAUUCUACUCUGUCCAUUAAUAUGGUCUAUUUACAAGUAAAGAUCUUUAAAUGAGAGGAAGGAGUGCUCAGAUUUCUCAAGGAGAUACAACGAUCCUGAAUGAUAACACAAAAAUCAUGCAAAAUAUUUGACUAUGCUGAUUAUGAGAUGGUAACCUAUUCUAUCUGGUUCAUCUUUACCUAUCAUGUGGUUUCUAAAUCAGUAUGUUAUUCAUGAAGUAGGGAUCAUUGAUUCUUUUAGUUGCUGGAGUUGCCCUCUCCUAUGCUGCAGCUUGGAAAUUGAAUUCUUUUUUCUGACUGACGAGAAAACUCUUCGAGGUCCAUGAUUUUCUGCUUGAUUUUCGCAAUACAUAUUUUUCUAAGUGUAGUAGUAAUUGGCCAAUGUAUUCUGCGUAAUGGGUUGGGAAAAAAGGAAGGUUUUUGCAUAUAAUCUCCUUUGUCACUCUACUAAUUUAGGAUUUAGGAUUUAGGCUGGCUAUUUCUACAAGUAUGUGACUUCUUGUUAUGUGUGUUGUAGUUUUUUCUCCUCAAAUAAUCUGUGUAACUGUAUGUCUUGGAGUUUUUCCUGCCACGUUUAAAAUUUAUUUGGUUAACAGUAUAGUAAGCCUAUAAGAUGUGCUUGUAAGCCACAUUUCUUUUGCUUUGCUUGGAGCAGUGAGGUUAUGACUCUUUCUGUUGAUGACCUUUGUUAAUGGAGUCUCUGUAAAAGUUAACCCUUUUCUUCUUUCUUUUUUUUUUUGAAAAGGUAACCCUUUUGUUCUUUCGUGGAACUUCCAUACUUAUGUAGAAUUUUGGAUGUCAUAAUCCUGUGUGAAUUUGAAAAUCUUCUUAUAAAUGAGCGCAUGUGUGUGCAGUGUAUAUUAGCUCUGACUCCCUGAAUCAUUGUAUUAUCAGUAGAUAGAUCAUUGUUCUUUUCACUAUUGAAAAUGCACAGGCUAAAGUGUAUCUUUGGGAAUUUAUUUCUAUUAAUGUUCAAGGGGUAGUAUAUUUAGCCUUCUGAAUAAAUGUUCAAUUGGAAUGCUUUAAAUUCUUUCUGUUGCCUUAUAGAUUAUUUGUGGCUGGCUUUCCUUUUCCUUCCCUUCACUUUUUCCCCCUUCAUUUUUCCAGUUUUAUUUGGUGGUUUUGUGUACUUCCACGCUAUAUUGAUUCAAUCCUUUAAAAAGUAGAUGAUAAUUCAAUUGCUCUCACUUUAAUAAUGUAGGUUGUAGAUCUGGUACUAAAGUUUAUGCGCAUAAUCCUUUCUUGGUUCAUAAUUCAUUUUUCAUUUUACAAAUUAUUCUCUAUGCACCUGUAAUUGAUUCAUUUUUAUUCCUAUUACUCUUUUGAAUGCAGUGCCCUCCAGAUCUUUAACUUGUGAAAUGUAAUCGGAUUAUCCAAGGAUAAUUUUUCUCCAAAAUCCAUUACUUCUUCGGUGACUAUCCAGAUUUAACGCGUUGAAGGGCUUUCCCACUUAACAUCUAUUUAUUGUAGUUCUAAUGUAUGUUAGUUUUCCCUCAAGCAUGGACAUACGUAUAGUUGGCUAUUCUUAAUAUUACAUAUGGAUGAAUAUGCUUUUGUAUAUGUAUUUUGUGGAGGGAAGUGGUGGACUGAGUGAUGGACACUUGUAAAUGGUGACUGCGAAUAGAUUUUACAGUCAUAAAAGUAUAUUAUAGUGUUGCAGUAGAUGUUGGAUAAUCAAAGUCAAUAAUUUGUUGGACUUGAUUGUAAUUUUAUCCAAGCACUAUGGUUGUGAUCUUUUUUCACUUAUAUGUUGUAGAGCUUUGCUCAUCGUAUAUAGUAUGAAACUUUAACAUGUUGGUUGAAAAUAUGUUUUUGCUUGGCUUUUGUAACCUUUUAGCUUGUGCGAAUAAAACAGACAAUAUGUCGGGC
rnacentral:lncRNA from 1 species